AGAGUUUGAUCCUGGCUCAGGAUGAACGCUGGCGGCGUGCCUAAUACAUGCAAGUCGAACGAGUUCUGAUUAUUGAAAGGUGCUUGCAUCUUGAUUUAAUUUUGAACGAGUGGCGGACGGGUGAGUAACACGUGGGUAACCUGCCCUUAAGUGGGGGAUAACAUUUGGAAACAGAUGCUAAUACCGCAUAAAUCCAAGAACCGCAUGGUUCUUGGCUGAAAGAUGGCGUAAGCUAUCGCUUUUGGAUGGACCCGCGGCGUAUUAGCUAGUUGGUGAGGUAACGGCUCACCAAGGCAAUGAUACGUAGCCGAACUGAGAGGUUGAUCGGCCACAUUGGGACUGAGACACGGCCCAAACUCCUACGGGAGGCAGCAGUAGGGAAUCUUCCACAAUGGACGCAAGUCUGAUGGAGCAACGCCGCGUGAGUGAAGAAGGCUUUCGGGUCGUAAAACUCUGUUGUUGGAGAAGAAUGGUCGGCAGAGUAACUGUUGUCGGCGUGACGGUAUCCAACCAGAAAGCCACGGCUAACUACGUGCCAGCAGCCGCGGUAAUACGUAGGUGGCAAGCGUUAUCCGGAUUUAUUGGGCGUAAAGCGAGCGCAGGCGGUUUUUUAAGUCUGAUGUGAAAGCCCUCGGCUUAACCGAGGAAGUGCAUCGGAAACUGGGAAACUUGAGUGCAGAAGAGGACAGUGGAACUCCAUGUGUAGCGGUGAAAUGCGUAGAUAUAUGGAAGAACACCAGUGGCGAAGGCGGCUGUCUGGUCUGUAACUGACGCUGAGGCUCGAAAGCAUGGGUAGCGAACAGGAUUAGAUACCCUGGUAGUCCAUGCCGUAAACGAUGAAUGCUAGGUGUUGGAGGGUUUCCGCCCUUCAGUGCCGCAGCUAACGCAUUAAGCAUUCCGCCUGGGGAGUACGACCGCAAGGUUGAAACUCAAAGGAAUUGACGGGGGCCCG
rnacentral:rRNA from 1 species